UGUGACUGACGGCAGAGGACAGUCAGGACUCGCUCCGGGGACGUGGUCUGUGCCCACACAGAUAAUUCUGCAUCCACCUACUGCACUGAGUUGCUGAUGGACUUCUUGCCCUCCUUGGAAUUUACUCAGUUGCUACGUGGGUCUGAAUCUGCAAAUAGGAGCCAUUAGCGACCCCUGCUAACCGGAGCUGAGAGACCCUCUAACUGCCUUUAUCUCAGAUCUGCUCACCUAUUACAAAUGUGACCGAGCAGUGGUUCUGAGCACUGACUAUGGGCACAGGUCUGGGAGGAAAUUCCAGAUCUGUCAUUUGCUGUCUAUGUGACAUGGCACAUUUCUUCACUUCUCUGUUAAUUAGCUUCUCUAAAAUACGGAUUAUAAUUGUACCUACCUUGAAGAAUGUCGAAAGAAUUAACGAGAUGAGUUAAUGGACACAGAGAGCAUAGAACUACUACUGCCUGGGCAAAUGAAAAUCUGAGACGUUGACCUUUUGAAGUAAUAGGACAUUACCCAACUGCAAUGGACUGAGUCAGCGCUGAGGGGACCAAGUGGCAAGAAUUUCAUCCAGCAAGUAGUCCACUCAGAUAGACUCCUGCCUCUCAAAUUAUUACGUGAGAAGAACGUGCCACCUCCUGGUCGAAAGCAACCAACCAAGAAGUUGAUUUAAACCUGUCACACUCCUACCAGGAAUCCAGCACUGAGCUUGCGACAGAAAACGCCAAAAACGUUGGUAAAAUGGACUUGCAUGACAGUUAGACCUGUUUCUUGAUGAGGACGCUGGGAACAACUCAAUGGAAGAUUUUUAUUCAAGUAAGUAUAUUCUGAUUAUCAUCACCAGUAUCAUCAUCAUUCUUUCCUCAUUUGUUAUGAUUUCUGUAAGAUUUUGAUGAAAAUUAUCCAGUCAGACUAUAUUUAUCAUGUGCAACCAUAGCUCCUCUCCUCCAGUGGACAAAUGCCCUAGACCCUGAGGUCAUGUCAUGUCAUGGAAGACAACACUACAAUAAAAAGGAACCACUACUAAUAUAUGCAAUAAACUGGAUGGAUCUCAAGGGCAUUAUCCUGAGUGAAAAAACUAAUCUAAAAAUGUUGCUCCUGUGUGAUUCCAUUUAUAUUACAGUCUUGAAAUGGCAAAAUUAUAGAGAUGGAGAACAUAUUAGUGGAUUCCAAGAAUGAGGGAUGGUGGAGGAAAAAGCAUUGGGUGUGUCUAUAAAGGGAUAGCAUGAGAGAGAUCUUUGUGGUGAUGGAAUAGUUCUGUAUCUUAACUAGGGUGUUGGUUACACAGAUAUACAUAUGUGAUAAGAUGAUGUAGAACUAUACACACACAUUGUAUCAAUGACAGUCUUCUGAUUGUAAUAUUGUACUAUGGCUAUGUAACAUGUAAACAUUGAGGAAACUGGUUAAAGUGUAUGUGAGGCUCCUUUCUAUGAUUUUUGCUACUUCCUGUGAGUCUAUAAUUAUUUUAAAAUUAAAAGAGAAAAAUACUAGAUGUUGCUGAGAGUAGAGACCAAUUAGAAGUUUCAAACUGUCAGUAACUAGUUAACUAAACCUAUACCUGUCCCAUGAUCUAGAAAUCCCAGUCUUAGCUUUAUAUCCAAGAGAAGUGAAUGCUUAUGUCCACCAAAGAUGUAUCCAAGAAUGUUUAGGGUAGGCUUACUCAUAAAAGCCAAAAACUAGAAAGAAUCCAUCAACUGGAGAAUAAAUAAAUAAAAUGUAGUGGACUCAAACAAUGGGUUAUGGGGUGGCAAUAAAAACAAUCAAACUACUAAUAUAUGCAACAACUUGGAUAAAUCUCACAGCCAUGGUGUUGGGAGAAAGAAGCCAGAUACAAAGGAAUACAUUCUGUAUGUAGAGAAGUCAGAAUAAUGGUUACCUCUGGGAUGGUGGGAUUAACGAGCAAGAAGCAUAAGGACACUUUCUGGAAAUGUUCUACAUCUUAGACUGCAUGGUAGUUACACAAGUGUAUAUGAAUGUAACACUUUAUUAAACUGUACAUUUCAAUUUAUAUACCUCAUUUUAUGUAUUCUUUGCCUCAGUUAAAAAAUGGGGGGAAAAUGCAGAGGACUGAACAGUGGUGUAAAUCAUGACACAUCAAAGAAGACAAGAUUCCUAAACCGGGAUUCAGUUCCUCACGCCUUCAGUGGGACUAAAGGCUUCAGUUCUUCAUCGGCUGUUGGUAAGAGACCACCCUUGUUCCUUGCCAUGAGUCCUCUCCAACACAGCAAUUUGCUUCAUCGAAGUGUGCAAGUAAGAAAAGUCAGAGAAAGAGAGAAAGCAUGUAAGUAAGACGGAAGUCACAAUCUUUUUUAACCUAGUCCCAGAAGUAGCAUCCCAUCACGUUUGUCAUAUUCUAUUCAUCAGAAGCCAGUCACUAUGUCCAGCCAUACUCAAGGGGAAGGGAUCACACAAGGAUGGGAAUAACAAGGAAGUGGGGAUGCUUGGAGCCAUUGUAGAAGCUGCCUACCACACCCACGUACGCAGGCAUGGAAUCCCAGUAGACUCAGCCAUUUGGGAUAUAGUCACAAGAGCUACAGCCUACAAAAGAAGCAGCAAAGCAGAUAGGUCUUCCAAAGCCUUUGCCCUUUUUGACAAACAGAUUAAGUUACCCUAAAAUCCAUAAGGAAAAACAGCCAAAUUAACUUGAAAAAAUGGUAAGAAUUAAGCUUAUUGAUUUUACAAGUGCAGGGUUUCCCAAGAAAAGUUCAGUUGUAGUUAUUAGAGGUGAGAGAUUCAAGAUGAUAGGGAGAAAAGGAAUGCCAAAAGCUGAUACAUUGGACAGGGUUAGGUGGUGACAAUUGAAGAAUUGGCAGAGAUUCAUUCAAUUACCAAUGAUAUUGCUACCUGAGGCACUUCAUGUAGAGACAAAGAGAAACAUUACCAGAGGGCAUCAGGCCAGCAUAUGAUGUCCCUCUGUGAAGCCGGGUACCUGAGGGGUACUACAGAUAUUAAACCAAUAUGCUGUUUUUCCUGUUUAACUUGAGGGGUGACUCAGGGGUCUCAAGGAUUUGUGAGUUUGUUUUGCAGAAGAAACAGAAUGACUUUGCGGAGGUUGUGAUCACAGAAUGGUCAGCCCUCGGCAGCCAUUGAGGCCCAGAAGUCAGAUUGCCCAGGGGCUUAUCUAAAGUGACCCCUUUGUUUCCCUGAAAGUCCUCCUGCCAAGCCCCUUAGCUCUAUAAAACCCCCCUGCUUUCUGUUCUUGGGGAGGUAGAUUUGAGUGAACCCAGGCUCCCACCUACUCAUUUUGGACAAUGUGAAUAAGUCUUUGUCCAUCUCCAAGCACCGAUGUCUCACUGUUUGGCUCCCUGUGCAUCAGGCACAUGAACUUGAGAUUCAGAGGUUCGGUGUCAUCAGGGGAUCAAACCAUGAUAGUGUAAGACAGAGGAACUCCUUUGUAUGUCCUCUUGAAUGACAGCACAACAAACAGAUGGUGAGUAAGAGUGCCUACCCAGCAAGGCGUAUGCUCUCUGCACUGUUAAUAGAGUUCUCUGCCAUCAAGGAUAGUGGGAAAUAAAUUCGCAGGUAAGCUACAAUCUUGAUUUUAAUUUGGAGUUUUAUUUCAAUUGCUUCAUUGGCUGAAUCUUUCACCAGAAUUUCCAGGAAGGCAAUAAACUAGGAAGUGUGUGAGAUACAGGUAUAACCAAGAGCCUGCUCUGAAAGAGCACAGUCUUUAAGGAAAGAAAGCUAUGUUUCCAGCAGACCCCAAUACAAGGCACAAUGGUGACAAAUGCUGCACCUCAACAAAUACUGCAGCCCUGCUCCUCAAAGUAGGUCCAAGGUCCAGCAGCACAGGCACCCACUGGGAGUUUAUUAGAAAUGCAGAAUCUCAGCUCCGUUCCAGAACUACUGAGUCAGAAUCUGCAUGGUAACAAGAUCCCUGGGGGACCUGAUGCACAGUAAAAUCUGAGAAACACUGCUCUAAUGGAACUUCGAGAAGUUUUGAGAGAACCAUGGAGAGGGAGACUAAGGUCAACAAGAGAAAUUAGAGUAUUUCAUAGAGAAGGUGUCAUUUGAGCUGAAACUCAUGAGAUGCAUAUGAUUUCAACGUGAAGAAAAGACUUUUUUUAUGGGAAAAAAAGUCAAAGCAUUGACGAUAGUCUGGUGCGGGAAAGUGGACUGUUUGCUUGAGGAAAGAAAAAGGAACACACUGUUAAAUUGAAGCCAGAUUACAAAGGGCUUUGAGUACUUGCUAAGGCGUUUUUACUUGAUUCUGUUGGCAAUAGAGACACGCUGGGAAUUUCCAAGCAGAGCACAAUAGCAAUAAUUAUAUAGUGGUAGUGUGGAAGAUGUAUUGGCAUGAGGAAUGCCAACGACAUGCCAGUUGCGAGUGAUUAACAUAGAAAGCCACAGAGUUGGAAGCUAUACUUCAGGGAUGAGGUUAUGCAACCUUGAAAUUCUAGCGCCAUAGUAGGGAAAUAAAGAAGUAACAGAAGUCAGAGACAUUUCAGAAGUAGAAUCCAUAGCUCUUUCUUUUCUUUCCUUUUUUAGGAGGAAGAUUAGCCCUGAGCUAACAUCCAUGCACAUCUUCCUCAACUUUAUGUGUUGGACGCCUACCACAGCAUGGCUUGACAAGCGGCGCAUAGGUCCACGCUGGGAUCUAACUGGUGAAUCCUGGGCCACGGAAGCAGAAUACGUGAACUUAACCACCAUGCCACCAGGCCAGCCUGGGAAUCCACAGCUCUUGGUCCAAACCACCAACAUUCCAAGAAGUCAGUCAGGACAAAAAUAUCCUGUUUGUGAGGAAUGAUGAAACUGGACUUUGCUGAUGACCAAAUCUCAAGCCAUUCUAUGAAGUAUAAUCUUAGCCUUACCUCUUCUAACAUCAAUGGACUCUUCUUGAAUACAACUUACCUCAUCUUCCUCCCUUUUUCCCAUAAAAACUCUAAGCCCCUCUCCUAUAAUCAGGUAUAUUUGGAUUUAUAUCUGAAUCUGUUCUCCCUGAAUUGCAAUUCUUUGAUGCCAAAUAAACACUUUGC
rnacentral:lncRNA from 1 species